rnacentral:miRNA from 1 species
UAUGUGUGUGGAGGAGGGGG